rnacentral:misc_RNA from 1 species
GAUGAAGAACGUAGCGAAAUGCGAUACGUAAUGUGAAUUGCAAAUUCAGUGAAUCAUCGAGUCUUUGAACGCACAUUGCGCCCCCUGGUAUUCCGGGGGGCAUGCCUGUCCGAGCGUCGUUGCUGCCCUCAAGCACGGCUUGUGUGUUGGGCCCCGUCCUCCGAUCCCGGGGGACGGGCCCGAAAGGCAGCGGCGGCACCGCGUCCGGUCCUCGAGCGUAUGGGGCUUUGUCACCCGCUCUGUAGGCCCGGCCGGCGCUUGCCGAUCAACCCAAAUUUUUAUCCAGGUUGACCUCGGAUCAGGUAGGGAUACCCGCUGAACUUAAGCAUAUCAAUAAGCGGAGGA